AGAGUUUGAUCCUGGCUCAGGAUGAACGCUGGCGGCGUGCUUAACACAUGCAAGUCGAACGAAGCACUUUAUUUGAUUUCUUCGGAAUGAAGAUUUUGUGACUGAGUGGCGGACGGGUGAGUAACGCGUGGGUAACCUGCCUCAUACAGGGGGAUAACAGUUGGAAACGACUGCUAAUACCGCAUAAGCGCACAGGGUCGCAUGACCUGGUGUGAAAAACUCCGGUGGUAUGAGAUGGACCCGCGUCUGAUUAGCCAGUUGGUGGGGUAACGGCCUACCAAAGCGACGAUCAGUAGCCGACCUGAGAGGGUGACCGGCCACAUUGGGACUGAGACACGGCCCAAACUCCUACGGGAGGCAGCGGUGGGGAAUAUUGCACAAUGGGGGAAACCCUGAUGCAGCGACGCCGCGUGAGCGAAGAAGUAUUUCGGUAUGUAAAGCUCUAUCAGCAGGGAAGAAGAAAUGACGGUACCUGACUAAGAAGCACCGGCUAAAUACGUGCCAGCAGCCGCGGUAAUACGUAUGGUGCAAGCGUUAUCCGGAUUUACUGGGUGUAAAGGGAGCGCAGGCGGUACGGCAAGUCUGAUGUGAAAGCCCGGGGCUCAACCCCGGUACUGCAUUGGAAACUGUCGGACUAGAGUGUCGGAGGGGUAAGUGGAAUUCCUAGUGUAGCGGUGAAAUGCGUAGAUAUUAGGAGGAACACCAGUGGCGAAGGCGGCUUACUGGACGAUUACUGACGCUGAGGCUCGAAAGCGUGGGGAGCAAACAGGAUUAGAUACCCUGGUAGUCCACGCUGUAAACGAUG
rnacentral:rRNA from 1 species